CCGUAGCUAACGCGUUAAGUAUCCCGCCUGGGGAGUACGGCCGCAAGGCUAAAACUCAAAGGAAUUGACGGGGCCCGCACAAGCGGCGGAGCAUGCGGAUUAAUUCGAUGCAACGCGAAGAACCUUACCAAGGCUUGACAUGCGCCCGGGCGCGCGGAGACGCGCGCGCAUUUGGUUGGGGGUGUGCAGGUGGUGCAUGGUUGUCGUCAGCUCGUGUCGUGAGAUGUUGGGUUAAGUCCCGCAACGAGCGCAACCCUUGCCCUAUGUUGCCAGCACGUCGACGCGGCCG
rnacentral:rRNA from 1 species